rnacentral:tRNA from 1 species
UCCCCGAUAGCUCAGUCGGUAGAGCAGGUGGCUGUUAACCACCGGGUCGCUGGUUCGAGUCCGGCUCGGGGAG